GGCUCGUUGGUCAAGUGGUUAAGACGCCGCCCUCUCAAGGCGGAAUCAGGAGUUCAAUUCUCCUACGAGCUG
rnacentral:tRNA from 1 species